GCCGGGUGUGGUGGUGCAUGUCUGUAAUCCCAAUGGCUGGGGAGGCUGAGGCAGGAGUUCAAAGCCAGCCUCAACAAAAAGUGAAGUGCUAAGAAACUCAGUGAGAUCCUGUUUCUU
rnacentral:sRNA from 1 species